CAACAGGGAUUGCCCUAGUAACGGCGAGUGAAGCGGCAACAGCUCAAAUUUGAAAUCUGGUCCCCCCCGCGGGGGCCCGAGUUGUAAUUUGAAGAGGAUGCUUUUGGCGAGGCGCCUUCCGAGUGCCCUGGAACGGGACGCCACAGAGGGUGAGAGCCCCGUAUGGUCGGACGCCGAGCCUCUGUAAAGCUCCUUCGACGAGUCGAGUAGUUUGGGAAUGCUGCUCAAAAUGGGAGGUAAACCCCUUCUAAAGCUAAAUACUGGCCAGAGACCGAUAGCGCACAAGUAGAGUGAUCGAAAGAUGAAAAGCACUUUGAAAAGAGAGUUAAACAGCACGUGAAAUUGUUGAAAGGGAAGCGCUUGCGACCAGACUCGCGCCCGCCGGAUCAGCCGUCGCUCGUCGGCGGCGCACUCCGGCGGGCUCGGGCCAGCAUCGGUUCGCCUCGGGGGGAGAAAGGCGGCGGGAAUGUGGCUCUGCGGAGUGUUAUAGCCCGCCGCGCAAUACCCCCGGGCGGACCGAGGACCGCGCGUAUGCAAGGAUGCUGGCGUAAUGGUCGUCAGCGACCCGUCUUGAAACACGGACCAAGGAGUCGUCCUAGUAUGCGAGUGUUCGGGUGUCAAACCCCUGCGCGUAAUGAAAGUGAACGGAGGUGAGAGCUUCGGCGCAUCAUCGACCGAUCCUGAUGUUCUCGGAUGGAUUUGAGUAAGAGCAUACUGGGCCGGACCCGAAAGAAGGUGAACUAUGCCUGUAUAGGGUAAAGCCAGAGGAAACUCUGGUGGAGGCUCGCAGCGGUUCUGACGUGCAAAUCGAUCGUCAAAUAUGGGCAUGGGGGCGAAAGACUAAUCGAA
rnacentral:rRNA from 1 species